rnacentral:lncRNA from 1 species
GAGCAGCAAAGUGGAAAACUUCCAAAAAGAGCGAGAGAGGCCAUGGAACGAGAUUUCGCCAACCUCCGCUAUGACUUUGAUAAGUUCAAGAAUUCUUUAAAAGAUGUCGAGCAGGGCUUAACAAGCAAAUUGAGCCAGUGGAGCGAGUAUGAAACAUCACUUGACAAACUUUUCAUCUGGUUAUCUGAAUCGGAGUCCUUACUUAAGAACUAUCAGCCAGUUUCUAGUCUUGAUGAAAAAUUGAACAGUUGGCAAAAUAUCAGGACUUCUCCUCAGUGA